GAAAGUCUGUCCGAGCAAUGUUCGAAGAGUUCGUUCAGCUGCAAUGGCAGAAGUUGGAAACGAUGAAGUUUGAUCAAUCGUACUCCGUCCGAGCAAUUUUCAGAGGUUUAAUACUGUAAUUUGGUAUGCUACCAGGUUAUUGUUUUUUCCUAUUUACUCCUUUACUGUAUUUUAGCAGGAAAAAAAUGUUACAGUAAAGUUUGAAAUUGUUAUAUUCCUAAAAGCCGUUGAAGGACCAUCUAAGUGUAAAGUUUCGAAUUUUCUGCAGAACAAGUGGUUUGGAAAUUGCUUGGAUGGAUUUUUCUUAACACCAGAAAGAAACAACCUAGAUUUUACCACUUUG
rnacentral:lncRNA from 1 species